GGUGGCGCAAUGGGUUAAGUGCUUGGUUGCUAACCAAAAGGUUGGUGGUUCAAACCCACCAGCCACUC
rnacentral:tRNA from 1 species